AGGACGACGCUGGCGGCGUGCUUAAAACAUGCAAGUCGAACGGACUUCUCAUGAAGCUUGCGAUUGAGAAGUUAGUGGCGGACGGGUGAGUAACGCGUGGGCAACCUGCCCCUGAGCCCGGGAUAACAGUUCGAAAGGACUGCUAAGACCGGAUAUACUUGCGGUGAAGCAUUUCACUGCAAGGAAAGGGAACGCUCAGGGAUGGGCCCGCGUCCCAUUAGCUAGUUGGUGAGGUAACGGCCCACCAAGGCGACGAUGGGUAGCCGGCCUGAGAGGGUGAACGGCCACACUGGGACUGAGACACGGCCCAGACUCCUACGGGAGGCAGCAGUUGGGAAUCUUCGGCAAUGGGCGCAAGCCUGACCGAGCAACGCCGCGUGAGUGAUGAAGGUUUUCGGAUUGUAAAGCUCUGUCUUCCGGGACGAUAAUGACGGUACCGGAGGAGGAAGCCACGGCUAACUACGUG
rnacentral:rRNA from 1 species